rnacentral:sRNA from 1 species
CUGACGAAAAGCAACUGUUUGAAAGCUUUGAUCGCGGAAAAUUGAAGAUUAAAAAGGGGAUAAACAAAUGCCUCCAAGAACGUGUGCCGCUGCAGGGUUGUUAGAUACACCUGCAAGCAACAUGAAUGAACACGAAUACGACCAGGAUACUCAUACUCUUAUAUCUAGAGGGGCUGAAAUGGGAUUUCAAAUGGGAGGUUAAGUGAACGAUAAUACCAUGGUUCGGAUGAUGAUGGUGGAAUGAAUAUAUGGAAAGACAGGACAAACGAAUGGAAAUACUUAUACAAAAUCUGGAGGGCAUCUCGAGCUCUCUAUCAACUCAGCAUCCUAUUAGGGGAUAUGAUUGAUGAAUUUCGAAAGGUCGCGAAGGCCAAGCUGGAAGGAAAGCAGGCAGCCAUCUUAAAUAGAAUCAA